UCUUUCUCAGAGUAUGUUGUCUUGGGUUUAUUCAGUGGUGGGGUCAGGGUGCAACAGAAAGAAUAUUACAGCUAGAAAUGUGAUAUAUAAAUCUGAUCAUUCUUUAUUCUGCAUGACAUCAGAGUCGUGUCUUUUCUAGACUGCAUAUUUCUAGCUGAACAUUCUGAAUAAGUCAAUUUCCGCAACCUAACAACAGACCGACAAACAUUGUUUCUCGCCCUUCUCCCCAAAGUGUGCACUUGUACACUUCCUCUCGUGGAUUUCAAAGGAAUGGGACUGGUGCAAGGAAUAUGGUGGAAAACAGGAACUCAAUCCAGCCCAAGUUUACACCAAUCCAAUACCUUUAAUGCCUUAGGUUGCCUAAAGUUUAGGAGGAGUAAAUGAGUUGACAAUUUGGGAGAAGGGGUAGAAACCAAAAUGUCGAAACUGGCUAACAGAAACAAACCACGCAAGCUGCAACAUACAAGAGGAGCAUGAAGAACGGCGCAGAACGAUGCUCUGACCAGAUGCUGCUGAUUCAUUUGUCGAUUUUAAUUAGCAUGUUAUUUCAAUUUAUGUCUGUUCUGCUCAGUUCUACCGGCUGCUCCACUAGCUUAUCAACAGCGUGUUUUGUUUUGCAGUGUUUCGAGCUUUCAACGUGUCGCGAGGCCAGCUGAUAACGAGACGGCCACGCUACGCAAAACCAACUCACCAAGAUGCAGAGACAAGAAGACCAGUCACAAGGAGCUACACAACAGGCGACCACCACAGUGACCACCACAGCACCCAGCAGCAUGCCAAAGCAACUACAACAGGAAGGACCCCAGACUCCACUCCUGUCCAUGGAGCAGACAGAAUAGCACGUGGGUGGCCGACCCUCCUCCUGCAAGAUGUCGCUCCAAACUGAAUCAGGUUGGGCCUGACGCUGCGGAAGCCCUUGGCGGCCAGAGAAGAACUGACGUCGUCGCCGUUCCUCAGGCCGUCGGUGCUACGCGACCUCCAAGCAUCUGGAAUACAUACACCCACACACACGUCACAUCUCAUAAUACAAUUAUAGGUAACAGGCCUUACACAACAACUAGACCCCUUGAUGCCAACACAUGGUGUUUCACAGCUAACAGUCCAAGAUAAAUUGGAUAUGAGAAUUGUGUCAAGACAUACUACAUUGAACUGUAGUUACCUGAAUCUGAUGAGUGAGACUCACUCCCUGUGAGGAGAAAAUAAACACACAUCACACAUUAACAUGUUACUUUUGGUAUGCAUGAUCCUCAACAAUAUGCAGCAAAAGAGACAUUUGAAUGGUGGGUUCAGUAGUUUGAAUACAUAUUCAAUGUAUUUCAAUGGUGGGUUCAGUAGUUUGAAUACAUAUUCAAUGUAUUUGAAUGGUGGGUUCAGUAGUUUGAAUACAUAUCCAAAUGAACGCGACAGACUGCUGAAAGAGGGUGAGAGGAACAUUUAGGGAAGGAAAAGGGGACAAUUCAAUGAUACAUAGAUGGGAUACAGUUAAUAAUGUCUGUUCUACACAAUGUCAGAAUGUUCUAUCAGAAUGUUCCCCAAGGUUGUGUUCUACACAAUCUAUUCUCAUCUCAACGUUGUGCCCUUCUGAACGCAGCCCUUUCAAAAGCCAACGGCGCCGAGACACAAAGCCAGGACAUUAUGACCCAGAGCAUGCGAGAGAGAUAGAAACCAGGGGCGUGUUCAUUCAGCACCAAACCAGAGUGAAAGGGGGAGGUACCACCUGAACUUUCCCAAUAUGAAAUGCUUGUUUUCCGUUGCAAAACGUUUUGCCACGCUCUGCCCUAUUGAACAUGACCCUGUGUUACCGUCCACAUAUCCCAACUGCUAUUAACUCGAUUGCCACUCAAGGGGAUCAGUGUCAAAUAGAAGAUUUGAUUAUAAACCUGUUAUUAGAGGUAAGAGGACAUUCAGCAGCUAACCAGCUAGAGACACUCAACGGGCCCCAAAACAAAGUAACACGGGCUAACUGACAAACAGUUACAGCUACCAAAUAAAUAUUUGGAGUUGCUAAAUGUAUUUUAAAUCAGAUAACACCAGAUUGACUAUAUUGCUAUAGCCAAGCUGCGUACUGACAUAUGAUGGAAUUUGAUGUGGUUCCAUCUUCUAGCACAGCGGACUAAAAUAAUUACCACUGGAAUAGAUCAAUAUAUGUGGAACUGGGGCGGCUCGAUGAAAGGUUUAGGAAACGCUGCUGUAGAAGAUGGGGGAGGUUUGUUGUCUGGGGGGGGAGCCGACUGAACACAGACAUACGGUACAUCGGCCUAACUAAAUGUGUCUAUUUCAAACCCUAUAGGUUUGACUAUGGUUGGCUUUGGAGAGAGCAGCAGAGUGGGAACUGAUGACAGAGAAGCCAACACAAAGCCAGAAAAGAAAGGAAUCUCCCAACCAGUCAGAAUACAAAGUCUUUAGAGGCUUGGCUAAGUUAGCUCUCGCCUACUUAUUAAACUGAUAUCAGAUAUACAUUAAAAAGGGGAUGAGACAGUCGGGGUCGGGGAGAUGAAGUGUGUGUGGGUGCGUGCGUGCGUGCGUGCAUGCCUGUCUGUGUGUUGCGAGAGUGUUUCUCUGUGCAUGCGUGUUUGUGUGUGCACGCCCGUGUGUGUGUGUGUGUGUGUGUGUGUCUACACGUGUGUAGCCGGAACGAGCGUUGAAAAUUUCAUGAGGUGCGGAGGGUGUUUUGAUAUCCCUGGCCAGGUUUAAUAGCUCUCGCCCGCUGCACGCCUUCACCCAGGGAAUUCUGGGUAUCCGGAGAUAUUUGACAGGAUAUGUCGUUAAUAGCUGAUGCCGCCGUGUGCGAAACCGUCGCGGCCUUGCAUUGUAAUUCCGGGGGAAAUGUCUUUCACUACGUUACCCACGAGCAACGUGGGGGAGUGGUCCAUUACUUUUCACGGCAGGGAAAUUAAAAACGCUAAAGUGUCCUCUCAUGUGGUUUCACCCCCUAUGGAGCACUAGCUGGGUUACCAAAAUGAACAGCCUGAGGCAGGCCGCACUUCAAUCUGUCAACUUGUUCUAUACAGCAGAUUUGAGGUAGAAGUUGUGCUUAAACACAGACCUGGGAUCAUAUUAUUGUACAUCUCAAUCCUGGUUAUAAGUCAUAGGCGAUGGCAUAAUAUCCGAUCCUGUAUCAGUGAUUAGUGCACCAGACUAGGGUUUGUCAAAUAGGUUUGGCCUCGGGACAAAUUAUUUUCUGAGCUAAUAGUCGGUGGGCCAGAACAUAAUUAGCAUAUAAUAUUAGCACAGUUAAUUGGCCUACACUACAACUUGAGUAACAUUUUUAACACAUCUGAUUAGUACAUAAUAAAUUCAGUGACAAUAAAAUCAUUAUUUCGCUCCUAAA